rnacentral:lncRNA from 1 species
AUCAAUUAAUUUUUCCCGGCCUGCUCAUUUUCGUUUCCCCCUUUUCGAAAUUUUCAAGUCUUUGAAAACCCUAACCAAAUGAUAACCCCAAAUUAAGCAAACACUAUCGUGUCUAACCAACGCAUUGAUGCAGAUCUACCGCCACAGUCGCGGAUCACCGGAACUGUAACCGUAGUACCACCUAGAACUAUCACCACCGCCUCCAGUCUCCGCCAAGUGACAGCAGCACCAUAACCAUAACUGACCUAGACUAUGGAAUCCCAAAUUCUAUGGACAUAUUAAGGAUUUAAUCAAACCAUUUCAAUAAAUUGGAUACAACAGAUGUGUUGAAGAUGGAUACGGUUGUACCACGGAGAAGAUACAAACACUUGCAUUUUUUGUGGCUUUUAAUUUCUACUAAUACAGGCAUUUGGUAACUUAUUCUUUGCCCCAUUUAGUAUUACUAAUUGAUUAUCUUGCUGAUUUAGGUUACAUUAACCAUUGGGGUUGAUGUCCAAUAGGAGAAGCAAACUAGGAGCAUCAAGUUGGGGAAGUCAUGGGUUCAAGCAGUGGCGGAUCUAAGAAUUUUUUUCACGGGUUCCUUUUGAUCAUGUCUUCACUGGAGGAUAAAUGGAGGGGUGUAAAAUGGUGGGUUCUGCUUGUCAAUUAGUCUGUUAUGACGAUAUCGCGCAAAUGUAGACUCUGUUGAAAGGUUACAUACUUACAUCGGUUGACAAGCAUUCUUUUCGUUUACUCUUCGCUUCUUAAAAUGUAGUUCUUUUUUACGAUUUUAUGCUUAUAUCCAGUGAGUAAAAUUUAAUAUGUGCUUUAUUCGUGUGUGAAUUUUGAAAAGUUGAACUGUAUUAAGUUGUAGAAAAUCGAAUUAAUAAUUUGAUUGGUUUGUCUAGGUACCAAGAAUAAGAGUUGUACAAUCUCAUCAAAGUAGGUUUGUAGUUGUGACUGAGAUAUAACUACUAAAAAUCAGAUGAAUACUGCUAUGAUAUUCUUGCUUCGUGUAUGUAAUUUGAAACGCAAUUUGCUGCCUCACACCUACCCUACUCGAGGACGCAGUGUGCACCAGGGAUGACAAUGUAUGACGAUAUUCGAGAUUAUCUACUUGAAAAUUUACUUAAGAGCGACGCCUUUAAGAAGUAUUUAGUAAUGAAUUAAAUGGAGUGGAGGCACAAAUUGCCUAAGUGUAAGAUAUGCUUUCUACAGA